rnacentral:tRNA from 1 species
GGGCGGUUAGCUCAGUUGGGAGAGCGCUUGCUUCACACGCAAGAGGUCGCAGGUUCAAGUCCUGCACCGCCCACCA